rnacentral:rRNA from 1 species
GAUGAACGCUGACAGCAUGCUUAACACAUGCAAGUCGACUUGAACUUCGGUUUGGGUGUCGGACGGGUGAGUAACGCGUACAGAACUUGCCUCACAGCUAGGGACAACAUUUGGAAACGAAUGCUAAUACCUGAUAUUAUGAUUUUAGGGCAUCCUAGAAUUAUGAAAGCUAUAUGCGCUGUGAGAGACCUUUGCGUCCCAUUAGCUAGUUGGAGGGGUAUCGGCUCACCAAGGCGAUGAUGGGUCGCCGGCCUGAGAGGGUGAACGGCCACAAGGGGACCGAGAGACGGCCCUUACGCCUCCGGGGGGAAGGAGUGGGGAAUAAUGGACAAUGGACCAAGAGUCUGAUACAGCUAUUCGGUGUGCAAGAUGAAGUUUUUCGGAAUGUAAAGGGCUUUCAGUUGGGAAGAAAAAAAUGACGGUACCAACAGAAGAAGUGACGGCUAAAUACGUG